rnacentral:rRNA from 1 species
AUGCGGUCAAAUCACGCUGAAACACCGGUUCUCGUUCGAUCACCGAAGUUAAGCAUCGUAGAGCCAGGUCAGUACUUAGAUGGGGGACCGCUUGGGAACACCUGGUACUGUAAG